rfam:Danio rerio chromosome 4, GRCz11 reference primary assembly.
GCAUUGGUGGUUCAGUGGUAGAAACCUUGCCUGCCACGCGCGAGACCCGGGUCCAAUUCCCAGCCAAUGCU